rnacentral:rRNA from 1 species
CUCAGUUCGGAUUGCAGGCUGCAACUCGCCUGCAUGAAGCUGGAAUUGCUAAUAAUCGCGGAUCAGCAUGCCGCGGUGAAUACGUUCCCGGGCCUUGUACACACCGCCCGUCACACCAUGAGAGUCGGGAACACCCGAAGUCCGUAGUCUAACCGCAAGGAGGGCGCGGCCGAAGGUGGGUCCGGUAAUUGGGGUGAAGUCGUAACAAGGUAAC